CGUAGGUGGCAAGCGUUGUCCGGAUUUACUGGGUUUAAAGGGUGCGUAGGCGGUUUGUUAAGUCAGUCGUUAAAGGCAGCAGCUUAACUGUUGUAAGGCGAUUGAUACUGACGAACUUGAAUUAUUGGGAGGUUGUCGGAAUGCGUAGUGUAGCGGUGAAAUGCUCAGAUAUUACGCAGAACGCCGAUUGCGAAGGCAGAUAACUACUAAUAGAUUGACGCUGAGGCACGAAAGUGUGGGGAGCGAACAGGAUUAGAUACCCUGGUAGUCCACACUGUAAACGAUGAUAACUAGAUGUUCGGGGGUAACCCUGAGUGUUCAAGCGAAAGCGAUAAGUUAUCCACCUGGGGAGUACGACCGCAAGGUUG
rnacentral:rRNA from 1 species